CGGAACGGGUGAGUAACGCGUGAGGAACCUGCCCCAAAGAGGGGGACAACAGUUGGAAACGACUGCUAAUACCGCAUAAGCCCACAGCUCGGCAUCGAGCAGAGGGAAAAGGAGCAAUCCGCUUUGAGAUGGCCUCGCGUCCGAUUAGCUAGUUGGUGAGGUAACGGCCCACCAAGGCGACGAUCGGUAGCCGGACUGAGAGGUUGAACGGCCACAUUGGGACUGAGACACGGCCCAG
rnacentral:rRNA from 1 species